rnacentral:lncRNA from 1 species
AUGGCUCCACUGAACCGCCCAGCUCCUGUGGAAGUCACAUACAGGAACAUGAGAUUUCUUAUUACACACAAUCCAACGAGUGCAACCUUAAGCAAAUUCAUAGAGGACCUUAAGAAGUAUGGAGUUACGACAAUAGUAAGAGUGUGUGAAGCAACUUAUGACACUGCUCUGGUGGAGAAAGAAGGCAUCCAGGUUUUGGAUUGGCCCUUUGAUGAUGGUUCAUCACCCUCUAACCAGAUUGUGGAUGACUGGUUAAGUCUUUUAAAUAUUAAAUUUCGGGAAGAACCUGGUUGUUGCAUUGCUGUUCACUGUGUUGCAGGUCUUGGGAGAACUCCAGUGCUUGUCGCCCUGGCAUUAAUGGAAGGUGGAAUGAAAAAUGAAGAGGCGGUCCAGUUUAUAAGACAAAAGCGGCGUGGAGCUUUUAACAGCAAGCAACUUUUAUACUUGGAGAAAUAUCAUUCUAAAAUGCGGCUGUGCUUCAAAGACUCCAGUGGCCAUAGAAACAACUGUUGCGUUCAAUAA